CAGCUAACGGUAGACUCGUUCCUCUCGUCUCUUAGCGCAAUAAUGUGUGUAAUAUGUGAGACCUGUAAGUCUGACUAUGAAGGCAGCUCGGUGUUUCUCUAAUUGUGUCGUCUGCAGUAACGGUAACAACUAGCUAAUACACGACUGUGAUUCUUCCGUCCGACAUGAAUGCACUCCUUCUGCGCUUCCAUAACUUCAUCUUCCCGCUGUGGCUGGGGGAGGACCGGGUCUGCAAGUGCUUCUGUGGAAGCCAACAAGUCUAUCAUGUUGUUCCGUAUGAGGGAGCCAUGUCAGCGGUGGAUUCCAGUGAAACCUUCUUUGGGAGUGACAUCAUGACCCAGCUGAACAUGGAUGUGAUAGUUGGACUGUUCUUGGGGAUCCUCCUCACUUGGUUGUUGAUGUGGUUCAAUAGCGUUUGGAAGUCGGCAAGCCAACUUAACAAUAUUCAUCUCUGGUCAAGGAUACCCACAUUAUAUACCAUAGUGAAUGUGUUAACACGACGACAUCCAAAAGACACCGAGGACCUCCAGCAAGAACAUACUGCAGAACAGCCAAUAUGGACAAAUAGUGAAACCUUUUGACACUUAAAUAAUAAAAAAAUGCAUGAAAUUCA